AUGUAUGUCAGAAACUUGGCAAGGAAGCUCCACAGAAACCAUACACCAACCUUGCUGUUCAAACUUGACAUCAAGAAGGCUUUCAACUCAGUGAGAUGGGACUUCCUUAUGGACCUGUUGAGACACCUCGGGUUCCCGGCCAGAUUUCGAGAUUGGAUUUCAGCACUCCUCUCCACGGCCACCUUGAGAGUUUUGAUCAAUGGGGUGGUGGGUGACCCGAUGAAGCACGGUUGUGGUCUUCGGCAGGGAGAUCCACUAUCCCCGCCCCUCUUUGUCCUGGCUAUCGACCCCCUACACCACCUUCUCAACAAGGCCACCACACAGGGGGAUCUCCACCCUAUAGGUGGAAGAGCGCCGACCAUCAGGACGUCUUUAUAG
rnacentral:rRNA from 1 species